rnacentral:rRNA from 1 species
GCUUGCUUGGUGGAUCAGUGGCGAACGGGUGAGUAACACGUGAGCAACCUGCCCUGAACUCUGGGAUAAGCGCUGGAAACGGCGUCUAAUACUGGAUAUGAGCUGCGGAGGCAUCUUCGUGGUUGGAAAGAUUUUUCGGUUUGGGAUGGGCUCGCGGCCUAUCAGCUUGUUGGUGAGGUAAUGGCUCACCAAGGCGUCGACGGGUAGCCGGCCUGAGAGGGUGACCGGCCACACUGGGACUGAGACACGGCCCAGACUCCUACGGGAGGCAGCAGUGGGGAAUAUUGCACAAUGGGCGGAAGCCUGAUGCAGCAACGCCGCGUGAGGGAUGACGGCCUUCGGGUUGUAAACCUCUUUUAGCAGGGAAGAAGCGAGAGUGACGGUACCUGCAGAAAAAGCGCCGGCUAACUACGUGCCAGCAGCCGCGGUAAUACGUAGGGCGCAAGCGUUAUCCGGAAUUAUUGGGCGUAAAGAGCUCGUAGGCGGUUUGUCGCGUCUGCUGUGAAAUCUGGGGGCUCAACCCCCAGCCUGCAGUGGGUACGGGCAGACUAGAGUGCGGUAGGGGAGAUUGGAAUUCCUGGUGUAGCGGUGGAAUGCGCAGAUAUCAGGAGGAACACCGAUGGCGAAGGCAGAUCUCUGGGCCGUAACUGACGCUGAGGAGCGAAAGGGUGGGGAGCAAACAGGCUUAGAUACCCUGGUAGUCCACCCCGUAAACGUUGGGAACUAGUUGUGGGGUCCAU